rnacentral:rRNA from 1 species
UACGUAGGGUGCAAGCGUUGUCCGGAUUUACUGGGUGUAAAGGGUGCGCAGGCGGACUUGUUAGUCAGAGGUGAAAUCUCACUGCUCAACAGUGAAACUGCCUUUGAUACUGCAGGUCUUGAAUCCAGAAGAGAGUUGUGGAAUUCCGAGUGUAGCAGUGAAAUGUGUAGAUAUUCGGAAGAACACCAGCGGCGAAGGAGCAACUUGGUCUGGUAUUGACGCUCAGGCACGAAAGCAUGGGGAUCAAACAGGAGUUAGAAAACCCCGG